UUGAACGCUGGCGGCAUGCCUUACACAUGCAAGUCGAACGGUAACAGGUUAAGCUGACGAGUGGCGAACGGGUGAGUAAUGUAUCGGAACGUGCCCAGUCGUGGGGGAUAACUGCUCGAAAGAGCAGCUAAUACCGCAUACGACCUGAGGGUGAAAGCGGGGGAUCGCAAGACCUCGCGCGAUUGGAGCGGCCGAUAUCAGAUUAGGUAGUUGGUGAGGUAAAGGCUCACCAAGCCGACGAUCUGUAGCUG
rnacentral:rRNA from 1 species